rnacentral:rRNA from 1 species
UACGGAGGGUGCAAGCGUUAUCCGGAUUUAUUGGGUUUAAAGGGUGCGCAGGCGGUCUGGUCAGUCAGUGGUGAAAUCCCGGGGCUCAACUCUGGAACUGCCAUUGAUACUGCCAGACUUGAAUACGGUUGAGGUAGGCGGAAUGUAGCAUGUAGCGGUGAAAUGCAUAGAUAUGCUACAGAACACCGAUCGCGAAGGCAGCUUACCAAGCCGAUAUUGACGCUCAGGCACGAAAGCGUGGGGAGCGAACAGG